UCCCCAAGAUUUUGGGUGGUCAUAAAUCCUAGAUGAGCCCCCAACUGAAAGACCCCCCCAGAGUGGGGAGAUGCUCACUAAAGUCUCCAGAUAAGCCAACGCCCCAAUAAUUCAAGACAGACC
rnacentral:pre_miRNA from 11 species